rnacentral:rRNA from 1 species
UACGUAGGCAGCGAGCGUUGUUCGGAGUUACUGGGCGUAAAGAGUGCGUAGGCGGUUUUCUAAGUUUGGUGUGAAAUCUCCCGGCUCAACUGGGAGGGUGCGCCGAAGACUGGAAGGCUAGAGUAUGGGAGAGGUAAGCGGAAUUCCUGGUGUAGCGGUGAAAUGCGCAGAUAUCAGGAGGAACACCAAUUGCGAAGGCAGCUCGCUGGGACGUAACUGACGCUGAGACGCGAAAGCGUGGGGAGCAAACAGG